rnacentral:rRNA from 1 species
AUACCCGCGCCACGAGUGGGAACCAUUAUUAUUGGGUCUAAAGCGUCCGUAGCCGGUUUGAUAAAUUUUCUGUGAAAUUGGUCAGCUUAACUGAUCAACGUGCAGGAAAAACUGUUAGACUUGGAACUAGGAGAGGUUAAGAGUAUUCUCAGGGGAGCGGUAAAAUGUUAUAAUCCUGAGGGGACUGCCGAUGGCGAAGGCACUUAACCAGAAUAGAUUCGACGGUGAGGGACGAAAGCCAGGGGAGCGAUCCGGAUUAGAUACCCGAGUAGUCC